GGGGGGGGCAUCUACAAAAAGGGACCAUACUAUAUUGAGUGUGGAGAGAUGACAGAUGGUUGUUGGUGACAAAAAGUUUGGUGUGGUAUCGUAUGUAGUAGUAAGGGGGUCUGGGGGUAUUCUCCCCCAGAAAUUUUUUUUUAUUUUUCCACCCCUAGAAUUGAAAUGUGAGCAUUUUCCUCUGAGCAUUUUCUGAAACAGAUUUUUGGAUAUACAGGGUUACAUUGUGCGUUGAUAGACCGAGUCUGAUCAGUUAAGUG